UACGUAGGGGGCAAGCGUUGUCCGGAUUUAUUGGGCGUAAAGAGCGUGUAGGCGGCUAGAUAGGUCCGUUGUGAAAACUCGAGGCUUAACCUCGAGAUGUCAUCGGAAACCAUCUGGCUAGAGUCCGGAAGAGGAGAGUGGAAUUCCUGGUGUAGCGGUGAAAUGCGCAGAUAUCAGGAAGAACACCCGUGGCGAAGGCGGUUCUCUGGGACGGUACUGACGCUGAGACGCGAAAGCGUGGGGAGCAAACAGG
rnacentral:rRNA from 1 species